GGGGCAGCAUGGUCUUAGCUUGCUAAGGCCGAUGGCGACCGGCGCACGGGUGAGUAACACGUAUCCAACUUGCCGUCUACUCUUGGACAGCCUUCUGAAAGGAAGAUUAAUACAAGAUGGCAUCAUGAGUCCACAUGUUCACAUGAUUAAAGGUAUUCCGGUAGACGAUGGGGAUGCGUUCCAUUAGAUAGUAGGCGGGGUAACGGCCCACCUAGUCUUCGAUGGAUAGGGGUUCUGAGAGGAAGGUCCCCCACAUUGGAACUGAGACACGGUCCAAACUCCUACGGGAGGCAGCAGUGAGGAAUAUUGGUCAAUGGGCGAGAGCCUGAACCAGCCAAGUAGCGUGAAGGAUGACUGCCCUAUGGGUUGUAAACUUCUUUUAUAAAGGAAUAAAGUCGGGUAUGCAUACCCGUUUGCAUGUACUUUAUGAAUAAGGAUCGGCUAACUCCGUGCCAGCAGCCGCGGUAAUACGGAGGAUCCGAGCGCUAUCCGGAUUUAUUGGGUUUAAAGGGAGCGUAGAUGGAUGUUUAAGUCAGUUGUGAAAGUUUGCGGCUCAACCGUAAAAUUGCAGUUGAUACUGGAUAUCUUGAGUGCAGUUGAGGCAGGCGGAAUUCGUGGUGUAGCGGUGAAAUGCUUAGAUAUCACGAAGAACUCCGAUUGCGAAGGCAGCCUGCUAAG
rnacentral:rRNA from 1 species